UUGUAAAUAAAGGAACACGGCUCCGGCCGGGCUGCGGGGCUCCGCUCAGUCCGGGAGCGCCCCCGGGCCGCGGCGCUCCUACCUCUGCUUUCCCACCGCCCGCAGCUGAAGCACAUCCCGCAGCCCGGCGCGGACUCCGAUCGCCGCAGUUGCCCUCGGGCGCCAUGUCGCAGAACGGAGCGCCCGGGAUGCAGGAGGAGAGCCUGCAGGGCUCCUGGGUAGAAUUGCACUUUAGCAAUAAUGGGAAAGGGGGCAGUGUUCCAGCCUCGGUUUCUAUUUAUAAUGGUGACAUGGAAAAAAUACUGCUGGACGCACAGCAUGAGUCUGGACGGAGUAGCUCCAAGAGUUCUCACUGUGACAGCCCACCUCGCUCACAGACACCACAAGAUACCAACAGAGCUUCUGAAACAGAUACCCAUAGCAUUGGAGAGAAAAACAGCUCACAGUCUGAGGAAGAUGAUAUUGAGAGAAGGAAGGAAGUUGAAAGCAUCUUGAAGAAAAACUCAGAUUGGAUAUGGGUUGGUCAAGUCGGCCGGAAAAUAUUCCCCCCAAGGAGUUCCUCUUUAAACACCCGAAGCGCACGGCCACCCUCAGCAUGAGGAACACGAGCGUCAUGAAGAAAGGGGGCAUAUUCUCUGCAGAAUUUCUGAAAGUUUUCUUUCCAUCUCUGCUGCUCUCUCAUUUGCUGGCCAUCGGAUUGGGGAUCUAUAUUGGAAGGCGUCUGACAACCUCCACCAGCACCUUUUGAUGAAGAACUGGAGUCUGACUUGGUUCGUUAGUGGAUUACUUCUGAGCUUGCAACAUAGCUCACUGAAGAGCUGUUAGAUCCUGGGGUGGCCACGUCACUUGUGUUUAUUUGUUCUGUAAAUGCUGCGUUCCUAAUUAAGUAAAAUAAAAGAAUAGACACUAAAAUCAUGUUGAUCUAUAAUUCUACCUAUGGGAUCAAUAAGCAUGUCAGACUGAUUAAUGUCUACUGUAAAAAAUUUGGUAGUAAAUUUUCAUUUGAUAUUAGAUAUAAAUAUCUGAAUAUAAAUAAUUUUAAUAUACUAGUCAUGGUGUAUUGUAUUUUAAAAAUUAUCUGCAACCUUAAUUCAGUUGAAGUACUUUAUAUUUCAAAAGAAUGAAUAACAUUGAUAAUAAAAUCGCUACUUUAAGGGGUUUGUCCAAAAUAAAUAUUGUGGCCUUAUAUAUCACACUAUUGUAGAAAGCAUUAUUUAAUUUAAAUGGAUGCAGGUUGUCUACUAAAGAAAGAUUAUACAUAACUAUGCUAAUUGUUCAUAAUCAACAGAAACCAAGAUAGAGCUACAAACUCAGCCGUACAGUUCGUACACUAAACUCUUGUUGCUUUUGCAUUAUAAGGAAUUAAGUCUCCGAUUAUUAGGUGAUCACCCUGGAUGAUCAGUUUUGUGCUGAAGGCACCUGCUCAGUAUCUUUUCGUCUUUAUCACUCUGCAUUGGUGAAUUCAAUCCUCUCCUUUGUGCUCAACUUUUGUGUGCUUUUAAAAUCAGCUUUAUUCUAAGCAAAUCUGUGUCUACUUUAAAAAACUGGAAAUGGAAAAAAAAAUAAAUCUUUGCCAAAUCCUUCA
ensembl:lncRNA novel transcript